CCUACGGGUGGCAGCAGUGGGGCAUAUUUCGCAAUGGGCGAAAGCCUGACGCAGCGACGCCGCGUGAGGGAUGAAGGUCUUCGGAUCGUAAACCUCUUUCAGCAGGGAAGAACGGUCACUGUGCUAAUCAGCAGUGAAUUGACGGUACCUGCAAAGGAAGCACCGGCUAACUCCGUGCCAGCAGCCGCGGUAAUACGGAGGGUGCGGGCGUUAAUCGGAAUUACUGGGCGUAAAGCGCUCGUAGGCGGUAUGUCAAGUCAAGGGGGAAAUCCCCGCGCUCAACGUGGGAACUGCCUUUGAAACUGGCAAACUGGAGUGUGUGAGAGGAUAGUGGAAUUCCAGGUGUAGGAGUGAAAUCCGUAGAUAUCUGGAGGAACAUCAGUGGCGAAGGCGACUAUCUGGCACAUAACUGACGCUGAGGAGCGAAAGCGUGGGUAGCAAACAGGAUUAGAUACCCGGGUAGUC
rnacentral:rRNA from 1 species